GUUUUCCUCUGCAGCCGAAUCUUUGGACAUUUAUUAAAUGCUGCCUGAAAUGUCAUCUGAGGGCAGGCUUUGUACCUCUUGCUUGCUAGCAGUGGUGCCCUGCUGCAGAUAGCUGCAUCUACUUGAAUGAGAUUGUAUGCUUCAUAAAAUAUUCUUCAUGGUGAGAGAAGAUAUUGUGUGCUGGGUGUUUAUGGGAUGUUUAAUACAGUUAUUCUUAUAUUACUGACUUUUAUGUCUUCGCAAACAGCUACAAUAUCUUCUCGAUGGGCUUCUGUUGUUUUCCUUCAUGGCUUGCUGACACGCUGAGAAGAGAUCAGACAUGUUUUUAUGUUAUUGUAACAAAAAGAGUUCCAUGGAAAUGACAGUGGGUGCUCCGUGGAAGCCCCCCAGGAGGUCAGAAACCAUCCCACAGAUGAAGGAAGGCAGCACAGGCGGGACCCGCUCCUAGGCCGCUGCUGCGGCCCAGCGUCCCCUCGCUGUCUGGUGGCGGCCAUCUCGUGCCAACCUGCGGUGGGAUGUCUUUAGGCAAACGUCCUGCAAACUGUGUGUGACAUUAAGCCAUGGCAGCUGUAGAACCUUCACAGGGAGGCCUCCUGUGUGUGUUAUGCAUGGCUGGACGUGUGGCUGUGGUGCAGUAGAAAAGCUGGCACAGCCGCAGCCUCCGCCUUUGCUCCUUGUAGUGCCAAAACACGAUGGCUUUCAUCCGUCGGCUGAAGGCAGGGGUUCUACCCCAGUGAUGAAGGCAGGCAAAUUUGGGGACAAAAAUAGCACUUGGCAGUGUUUUACCUACUGCUGUCUGAGGUGCGCCCCUCCACCAGCAUGAGGGAAAGAGAUAAAAAACAACAAACUCUUCACCACCCUGCAGCCACCAUUUCCUCCUCAGCCUGAUUGCUUUAUUGGUUUUACUGAUUUCUACUUAGUUAUUUGCUUUCUCUUCUUGUUUAUUUGUGACUUUCUCCUGGCAACAGUGGAGAGAAAAUGUUAUUUCAUUGUUUCUUUCAGAGGCAAAUCUGAUAACGGCGACACAAACUGUCAGGAGAAUUGGUGGGCCAGAGGAAUACCUGCCACUACUCAUUUGGCUGAAGAGGAAGAGCUUGCAAGCUCCCUGGUGCUGUCAGGGACUGUGGAAAUCCCUGUGGCCAUGGGGGCUGCUUCUUUGGGUGGUUCAGCAUUUUGCCAGUCCUGGGUUUAGAUUCUCUAGAAAGAAGCUCGUGAAGAAGGGAUGCUUCUGGUCACACUCCUGGGAGGGCCAUGGAGCAACUUUUAGGGAGAGACUUCAGGAAGGGAGAGAUCUCCACGAGCAUGGCUGGAUAUGGUAUGGCAGAGAAGGACGUUGGAUGCUUGGCAGAGUCCCACAACACAUCCACCUUUCCUCUGUAUUAGUUAAACUCUCUUGAAGAUCUACUUGCAGAAGUUCUCCUGGUGGUGCUUGGUGAAGAAGGAGCCCAUGGUGUGCCCUGCAAAUCCUGCACCUGUGUCCUGGCGAAACACGUCUUCUUUUUUUCACUUAGUGAAGCUCACCCUGCUGGUGGUUGCUCUGUACCCAGCAGGGUUUGCACUCCUCAUAGAAAAAGUUUGGGAUGAAAUACAUUCAUUUCCUUCCAUGAAUGCGUUCGUGUUUGCAUGAUAAUUUUUCUUCAGCUGUCUUUUUCCAUCAGGUCUGCAUUUUUUUUUUCUUUUCCCAGGGCAGUAAAUCAACAGGCUGUGAUUAAAGAUUUAAGAAGCUCCAUCAUUUGCCAGUCCAAAAUUUAAUUUACUGAAACAUCUCUAACUAGCAGGCAGCUGAGUCACGUUUUGUAUUUCUCUUCUCCUGUAUGGAGAGGGACAGAAGACCAGGGACAGCAUGUUUAAAGGCUUCCAGCGCUGCUGAGUUUAUAUAGCAGCCAAAGACGUUGUAGUUGUUCCCCCUCCCUCUUUCAGAGGAAGAUCCUUUUCACUACACAGCUCUAGACCUGUACUUUUCCAUUCACUAGUUGCUACUGUUGUUCUCCUUUUGUUUCCCAAAAGGAAAAAAAAAAAAAAGAAGAAGAAAAAAACAGAUGGCUUUGGUGUUGUUUACCCUAGGAAACAUUUUGAGCAUUCAGUAAUAAAACUGGAGGAAAUCCUUCA
rnacentral:lncRNA from 1 species